rnacentral:rRNA from 1 species
UACGAAGGGGGCUAGCGUUGUUCGGAUUUACUGGGCGUAAAGCGCACGUAGGCGGAUCUUUAAGUCAGGGGUGAAAUCCUGGAGCUCAACUCCAGAACUGCCUUUGAUACUGGGGAUCUCGAGUCCGGAAGAGGUGAGUGGAACUCCGAGUGUAGAGGUGAAAUUCGUAGAUAUUCGGAAGAACACCAGUGGCGAAUGCGGCUCACUGGUCCGGUACUGACGCUGAGGUGCGAAAGCGUGGGGAGCAAACAGG